rnacentral:rRNA from 1 species
UACGGGAGGCAGCAGUGGGGAAUAUUGCACAAUGGGCGAAAGCCUGAUGCAGCUAUGCCGCGUGUAUGAAGAAGGCCUUAGGGUUGUAAAGUACUUUCAUCGGGGAGGAAAAACAAAACUAAUAAUUUUAUUUCUUGACGUUACCCGAAAAAGAAGCACCGGCUAACUCCGUGCCAGCAGCCGCGGUAAUACGGAGGGUGCUAGCGUUAAUCAGAAUUACUGGGUGUAAAGAGCACGUAGGUGGUUUUUUUAAGUCAGAUGUGAAAUCCCUGGGCUUAACCUAGGAACUGCAUUUUGAAACUGAAAUACUAGAGUAUCGUAGAGGGAGGUAGAAUUCUAGGUGUAGCGGUGAAAUGCGUAGAUAUCUGGAGGAAUACCUGUGGCGAAAGCGGCCUCCUAAACGAAUACUGACACUGAGGUGCGAAAGCGUGGGGAGCAAACAGGGAUUAGAUACC